GCAGCCGCGGUAAUACGGAGGGUGCGAGCGUUAAUCGGAAUUACUGGGCGUAAAGGGUGCGUAGGUGGUUGAAUAAGUUAUCUGUGAAAUCCCUGGGCUCAACCUGGGAAGGUCAGAUAAGACUGUUUGACUCGAGUAUGGGAGAGGGUAGUGGAAUUUCCGGUGUAGCGGUGAAAUGCGUAGAGAUCGGAAGGAACACCAGUGGCGAAGGCGGCUACCUGGCCUGAUACUGACACUGAAGCACGAAAGCGUGGGGAGCAAACAGGAUUAGAUACCCUGGUAGUCCACGCCGUAAACGAUGUCAACUAGCUGUUGGAA
rnacentral:rRNA from 1 species